GACGAACGCUGGCGGCGUGGAUUAGGCAUGCAAGUCGAACGGUAUCAUCCUUUCGGGGGUGAGAGAGUGGCGAACUGGUGAGUAACACGUAGGUUAUCUACCCUCAAGACGGGGACAACCCAGGGAAACUUGGGCUAAUACCGGAUGUGAGCAACUUUUAGUUGUUUGAAAGGUGGCGUAAGCUGUCGCUUGGGGAUGAGCCUGCGUCCUAUUAGUUAGUUGGUGAGGUAACGGCUCACCUAGGCAAUGAUAGGUAGGCGGCCUUAACGGGUGGUCGCCCACACUGGGAUUGAGAUACGGCCCAGACUCCUACGGGAGGCAGCAGUCGAGAAUAGUCUACAAUGGUCGGAAGACUGAUAGUGCGACGCCGCGUGAACGAUGAAUCCCUUCGGGGUGUAAAGUUCUUUUAUAUGUGAGCAGUGCUUCUUAUAUUAACGUAUGGGGAGAGAGAUAUUAGCAUAUGAAUAAGCAACGGCUAACUCCGUGCCAGCAGCCGCGGU
rnacentral:rRNA from 1 species